UACGUAGGGUGCAAGCGUUGUCCGGAAUUAUUGGGCGGAAAGAGCUCGUAGGCGGUCUGUCACGUCGGCUGUGAAAACUCGGGGCUCAACCCCGAGCCUGCAGUCGAUACGGGCAGACUAGAGUCCGGCAGGGGAGACUGGAAUUCUCGGUGUAGCAGUGAAAUGCGUAGAUAUCGAGAGGAACACCAGUGGCGAAGGCGAGUCUCUGGACGACUCCUGACACUGAGGCACGAAAGCUAGGGGAGCAAACAGG
rnacentral:rRNA from 1 species